rnacentral:rRNA from 1 species
UACGGGGGGGAGCAAGCGUUGUUCGGAUUUAUUGGGCGUAAAGGGUGCGUAGGCGGCGGAGUAAGUUGGGUGUGAAAUCCCGAGGCUCAACCUCGGAAUUGCAUUCAAUACUGCUUCGCUCGAGUACUGGAGAGGAGGCUGGAAUUUACGGUGUAGCAGUGAAAUGCGUAGAUAUCGAGAGGAACACCUGCGGCGAAGGCGGGUUGCUGGGCCGACACGUGACGCUGAGGCGCGAAAGCCAGGGGAGCGAACGGG